rnacentral:lncRNA from 1 species
AUUGAGCUCGUCAGUGAUCUUUUCCAUGGUUUCUAGAGAAAGCAGCUUUGAACAUGACAUUCGUACCCAAGGAAAGAAAGUUUUGGCAGGCAUUACUGUGAUCUUGAAGCCCUUGCUAGGAGCUACUCGGUACGGCUCACUACUAAACUAAAGAAGGUUCAGGCAUACUUCUACUUAGCCCUAUGAUCCGCUAAUUCAUCUCUUGAUCUGAUAUUCCGCAAAGGAUGUGGAUAGAGUCAGUCAGCGAAAGAAGUUUCGAGAGGGCAGAAGAAAGGGUUUUCAAUUCAAGGUUCCCGCUCCUGGAAAUGGGUAUUAAACAAAGGACAUAGUGGGUUAGGUAAAACCUCUUUUGAGAGGAAAUAAAAGAUCUAUCAAAGCAGAAAGUCGAGAGCAAAAGGGUUUGCUUUACAGCCAAUGCGUAUGCUUUCAAAGUGAGACUUGGAACUAAUAUAACCCUUAUCUGUAUUUUCUUAAUGGGAUAAGAAUUCGUAGUGGGACGUUCUUUUCAUAGAUCCUUCGAGCGAGAAAGGUGCUGCGCCUUAUCGGGGCCUUUGACCCUCAAGGUCAUCCAGAGCCACUUUAAGGCAGUUUAUUGACCGUAGCAAUGCAAUGUUCAGUGGUGGGGCAAAGCACUAGCGAGAA